GCUCCCUUUGGCAACAUACACUAAAAUUGGAACAAUACAGAGAAGAUUAACAUGGCCCCUGUGCAAGGAUGACAUGCAAAUUUGUGAAGCACUCCAUAUUUUU
rnacentral:snRNA from 1 species